AACCUCAAACACAGAAGAAGAGGGGAGGGACAAAUCAGAGGGGAGCAGUGACGAAGAAGAGGGGAGCGGUCACCAGCGAUAUUUCUUUUCCCUCUUUCAAUUAAACCUAAUAUUUCUCUCCAUGAGCCUCUUUCAGUUGGCCAUCGAUCGAAGCAAGUGGCAAGCCCUAAGCCCUAAAUGAUAACGCAUGGCUCAGAGACGAAAUCUGAAGAUUGUGUUUGAAUUUCUCUAACCUCUCUCGCCCUUUGUCUGAUCGGAAUGACCUGGAAUGGGUCAGGUGUAGUUGUUGCCAAGGCUGAGAUUGCAGCAACGGAUCCUAAUGCGUUAGAAGAUCAUUUUCCAAUUGGUCCAGAUUGUUGGAAAGUAUGGAUUGAUGGUAUCUUGGUCGACGAUUGUCCUUUGUAUUGAGCAAGCCUAAAUGGAAAUUUUUAUCUUCGUGAUGCUAACACAAGCUCGGUUGUAUGGCCUAAGAAAUGUGUGAAAAUUAUUCAGGAUUGAUUAUCACUAGUUCAUUAGGAGCAGAAGAAUCAGAAUUUCUAUGAUUCCAGUCUACAACAAAGCUACUUUCUUGGAUUUUGUACUGUGGAUUUUGCAGCUACUUCCUUGGAUUUUGUACAGUGAGGUGGUUUUUUGACAAGUGCAGACUGAAACUCAAGUGCUAGAAGGCCAUGGCUAGGGUAAAGACUGUUGCCCGUAGGCAUCAUCCACGUUAAGUCAGGCCCAGGAUAGGGGGGCAGGCGAGCCCUCUUAUGUUUAGGAGUAGCCCGAGCAUCAGGCAGAGCCCUCCCAUGUCCAGGAUUCAGAGUAGCUUGUUGAGGCUGAGCAGUCGGAGCAGUUAGAGGAUUAUAUCGAGGCAGAUCCAGCUUAGUCCCCCUCAGCUGACUCUAGACUACAGUCUUUAGCCUCUACAUCUUCAUUAUCCCAUGAUGAGGCUGAGCAUACACCAUCGCCUUCUCCAUCUCCGCCUCAUACACAGCCAGGCCAGGCCUUAGACAGACCUCUGCCCAGAUAUUCACACCUUAAAGUGGCGCAUGAGUCAGUUUUUGACAUCUUUUUCUUCUCCCGGUACAUUUUGACCUGGGCAGCCUACGAGGAUAUAGACCGGAGGGGCAUUUUAGCUAUUCUAGCCCCUGUCACAUACCCAGUUUACCCGAGGUUUGUUCGGAUGUUCUUCCUAAACCUCCGGCCUGCCCUGAGUAAUCUGGCAGAGCUGCGCACUAUGGUUGAUGGCCAUCCUAUCAGCAUUAUAGUAGAGACGCUGGCUAGGUCUUACCGAUGCCCACAUGUUUGCCCUCUUGAUCUUGAGCUCGAUUAUCCCAUUCUGGAGAGGAGGCCUUCUUAUGCAGACAUGGCUGUGGCACUUACAGACCAUUGCAGUAAGGGCGAGACAUUUGCUACUCGGAACUAUUUGCUCAAUGAUCUGUGGUUCUUCGAUUCGGUCUUAUACCGAAAUGUGUUUAUGGCCGGCCACAAGAUUUAGAGGAGAGGUGACUAUUUGACUGCCUUGUAUGCUUUCUACACAGGGUAUUGGGUUUCUAUUCCGGCCUUAUAUUGGAGCAUCAUGAUGAAGCUAUACGCUGACUACAUCAGCAAGGCCAAGCUCAAGAGGGCUAAGUACCUUCCUUUUGGCCACUUUAUUACUCAGAGCUUGCGAGAUUAGCGCUAUCCAUUCCGUUCAUAUGAGUGCCUAGAGACAGGAGCUUGCCACUUUGGCAAGAAAGACUAGAAUAAGAGCUACAAUGCUCUUAUCUAGAGUCUUAUGGAGGACACUGUGAUAGCAGCUGAGGAGGCUGAGGAGGAGGAGAUGGCAGCAGCAGCAGCAGCAGAUGAUCCAGCAGUCGCACCGGCGGCUGCAGUAUAUAUGGACAUUGACUUGGAGCAAGAGCCUCCAGCAGAGGAGAUCCCACAUCGCUCUCCAGCGGGGUCACCAUUACAUUUCCCAGAGCAAGCUUAGGAUGCACAUCAUUUUCCUGAUCCAGUGGUACCUGAGACUCUAGUACGACACCCGACUUUGGAGAGCGUAUCCAGGCUUUGGAGGAUGUCGUAGUCUUUAUCCGAGCGGACAUUAUCUCUAUCCGAGCUGACAUUUUAUCUCUUCGUACGGAUGUCAUGACUGCGUUGCGAGAUAUAUCCCGAGAUAUCCGCGGAGCGCGCCCUACCCGUCCUACCUCCUCAGUGCAUCCAAAUGACUUCAGUGAGAGAGAGUGCUGCCCAAAUUUUCAGGACCACCCUUUUUCCUCUCUCCUUAUUUCAAUUCUUGUCCCAUUUACACUUGCAUAUCCACUGCGCACUAUUAUUAUCCCUUUUGUUAUCUAAUGAGUUUUAUCUAAGUGCCAUCUUUUCAGGACCACAGUUAAUUCAAAGUUUGGGGGGGUUAUACCACCCACUUUGGAUACUUGUGUCUCGGCCAUUUUUCGCCAUAGCUACACUGGUAUACUCUUUCCGUUGUUCUCUUUGCACAUUGAGGACAUUGUGCCAUUUAAAUUUGGGGGUAAUGGUGUUAAUUGCAGUAUUUGCUUUCAAUUCAAAAUUUUAAGCAUGACUUGUGUAUUUGAGGGAUUGUCUAUGAUUAGUCCAUAACUAGCUAUGAUUUUGAUCUUUUGAGGACUAUAUUGCUUUGAAUUUAAAAAUUGUGACUUGAGAGUUCAAUACUCCUUGUAUGCCUUGUGGAUGCCAUUUCGGAGUAAAUUUUUCGAAAGAUUGAUAUCUUACUUGCACUUAUGGUGCACAUCAUCCUGAUUUUGUGAUUAUUUUGAGAUUCAAUUUAAGAUUCUACACUAGCACAGGUGCACACUAGCAUUCAUUUGUGGGGUACAUGCUUUGUUAAUUAUUGAUUUGAUUAUAUAUCCCAAUUAAGCUAGUACUGCAUUGAAAGCUUUAAUUCUUGAUAAAGGUGGAUAACAACCCCUUUUCACUAAGGAGCCGGGAUUCUAGCCUCAUCAGGCAUUGAAUUUCUCGCGCCAAAAAGUGGAGGGCCCAAACUCUAGGUUAAUAAUUGGAUCUAAAAAUAAAAAAUAAAUAAAUAAAAAAGUGAGGACUUCUCCCAAAAGGUGAGAAGUGCAAAAUGAUUAGAUGGAGGAUGUUUUGAUUUGUAGCCUAGUUGAUUUGAGCUUGUAAAUUCUUAGGGGUGUUUGAAUGCUUAAUACCCUAAAGCCGUCCAGUUUGGGAGUCAUUGACCUAACACUCGACCUCAUGGAUCACUAGAAAGCUUAAUAGAUCAACACAUUGCACCAUACUUCCAUCUUUGAUCCGUAGGGGAAAAAAAAAAAAAAAAAAAAAAAAAAAAAAAAAAUCGAGUGAAAAGAAUAAGCGCACCUAGAACAAUAAAACUUUAAUACAAGGUCCAUUCUUUGUUUUAAUGAUCGGGACUAGAUUUGUGUGCUAAUUUGAGGGUAAGGAUGCGAUCCUUUCUUUAGUUAGCUUAGAUAGCAACGUACUUAAUGCCGGUCCACUCAAAAAGGAUUCUAGUGUUGUUUUGAUUUGCAUGAUCAUUUUUUUGAUGUGUGGAGGACCAUACUUGCUUACCUGAUGUAGAGAUUUUGGGAGAUUGCUUGGAAAUGGUUGAAAAAUUGCAUACUUGAGGUAGUUUUCUCCCAAUGCUUGUUUGCAAUAUUGGUGCCUCUUUAGUGAGAAAAAGCUUAAUGUUUGUGGGUAUCAUUUCUGGAAACUCUCACGAGACUUUACUCGUCCACUAGGGGUAACCUAGGGGUUUAAAAGGUUUGUUGCAUAUGCUAAAUACAAUCGUGUUCCCUACGAAAGUGGCAUUAUCCAUUUAUUGCUUUCUAGAUUCAUACCUGUAUAGUUGUUCAUUUCAUUCCUUUACUUUAUAGUUCAUUGCUAGGGACUAACAAUAUUUAAGUUUGGGGGUGUGAUGAGCGCUGAAAAGUGCGCAUUUAAACCCCUUAAGCUUAGGUAUUUUAGGACCUUUAUCUAUCUUACUUUCCCAUUUUAGACUAAUUUCGUGUUAUUGUCCUUUUUAGGUACUUAUCCCCAAAAUAAGCUAAUUCAGCCAAAUAAAAGCUUAAAAGAAGCAAAGUCAAGCUGGACGGAAAAAAUGAGCAAAGUGGAAGCAGAAUGAAGCAAAGUGUGGAAAUCAGCAUGUUCGAUCAAUCUCAAGAAUACUUCGAUCGAUCGAAAGUUCAUUGAUCUAGACUCUCCAAGAUGGAUCCAAGCUCUUUUGCCCUUAUCCAAAGAUCCCACAAAGUUCGAUCGAUCCAACAAUUCUCAGAUCGAUCGAAAAGAUUUCAUCUUAUCUUGUUAUACCACCCCACCUACCACUUUUGUCUCUUUCCCCAAAAUAUCUAAAAUCUGUCCUUAUCCAAAAAGGCGCCGCCAUGGGGGAUCGAUCCAGCCAAAGUUUGAUAGAUCUCAGCCAACUUCGAUCGAUCUCAGCAUAGGUUCGAUCGAUCGAACCCUCUCAAGUGCGAAUUAAAUCAAUUUCCAGCUCAUUAAAAGUUGUCUCAUGGUGCAAUCAUUAGAGAAGCCCUUGUGUACGAGCCUAGACCAUUGGGUUUGACAUUUGAGCUACCUAUAUAAGGAUUAUAAGCCACUUUUACACAUAUGUUUGGAGGAAUUGAUAGAGAUAAUUUUUUAUUAUUCUUAGAGAGGAAGAAAAGAGAAGAGGAGGCUAGAGACACAUUCUUGAGAGGUCUUCCAUCUAACUCAAGAAGAAGAGUAUUUCUACCAUGGAGAUAGCCCUUGAGGGUUGGAGGACACCAUCCAUGAGUGGCUAGACACCCUCUUGGGGCUAGAGUUAGCCCUAAGCAUACUUUCUUUACCUUGAUUUAUGUAUUUUUUAGGGGAUUUGUGUUGUAAUACAUGUUUUGACAUCUUUAUAUACAUAGAUCUUGUUUAUUCAA